rnacentral:tmRNA from 1 species
GGGGGCGAAACGGCUUCGACGGGGAUAUGGAAGCAUAGGUUGCAUACCGAGCUCCACCAGCUCGUAAAAAUGGUGGGACUAAAAUAAUCGCAGACGAUUAUUAUUACGCCUUAGCCGCUUAAUGCAGGCUAACGUCCUUCCGGGUUUUUCCUGCGAACCCAGAAAGGACGCCGGUGAGCAGGAUAGCCUCUUUCGGUUGCUUGUUACGCAUGAGGUGAAUUUAUAACAAGCUAGCUUCUCAAGCAUCCAGCCUGAAGGAGCCUUGAGAGGCGAAACCGAAAAUUCAGGCUAUGUAUGUAGAAGCUUAUGUGGAAUAUCGUCGGACGCGGGUUCGACUCCCGCCGCCUCCACCA